CUGUGUAGGUAGUUGGAGGCUGAGUUUUCACAAAGUCUCCAACAAUUAUGUUCUCCAUACCAGUUGGCAUGAGAUUGUGACGAGCUGCAUUUUGUAGCUCAAUAUCCAGUGGGCGGACUGUCUUAUCACAUCCAUUGACGAGCUACAUUUUGUAGCUCAAAAUCCAGUGGGCGGACUGUCUUAUCACAUCCAUAAGGAGGUGAUAUCAGACCUAAAUUUUCUUGACCUUGCAAGACCUUGGAGGAUCUUACCGACUCC
rnacentral:lncRNA from 1 species